UAAAAGGAAACACAUAAAGCGCCCAUCCAUUCGAACUCGUCUCACUGAGAAGUUUACCGGAUUUACUCCAGCUUCCGUAUAUGAAUGUAUAGUUAUUAGUUUGUAUUUGUUUGUAACUUCGUGAAUCCAAGGGUGGAUCGGUCAUCGGGGACGAUUGGAAUAUCAAAGGAGGGAAAGAGAAAAACUCUUUUGGAUCGGGGGCAAAUUAAGAGUAUUGUUGUCCGAAGAAUCGAUGACGCCUUUCGGAGGUCAUUGACUUCCGUUUCGUGUAACACAAGAAGACAUGCGCGAACUGAGGAAUCCGCGAUCUGCGUUCUUUCACUUUGACCCCGACCGUGGUAUCAGCAGCAGCGAGAGUCCUUUGACAUUGUUCCGCGUUGUCUUAAAUGCUAUCACUAAUUAGCUAGCUAGGUAGUGUGGGCGGUAAAUUGUGUGCGAGGCAGCAAAAUACAAAAAGCGAUCACCGACCGCCGCACUUCUAGCGACGCACAAGCGGCAGCCAGGAAUCCUGGCCCAGGAUCUCGUCGACCGCCGGUCCCCAACGUUAAUUCCGGCAGCCCGGUAGGGGUUCAAAGUUUUGGUUCCCGACUCGAAUCCGAGUGGGAAAAGGAGCUGGACACGACCGUCAAUUCGUCCCUCCCGGAACGUGAGCCGUCAACCAAAGCGUUCCGAAAAGGUAGUACUCUACUUUAUCGACCAACGAAAGGAGUGAGUACCCAUAAAAACAUGCGCAUGUAAUUAUAUAAACAAAUGAUCAUUUGCUAAUAAUUCAAAUCCACACACGAAACGUUUCCGGACCAUGAUCGAAAAAUGCAUGGUUCCGUGAUUGAUUAAUCUGGCCUGAAAUCAUUAAUUUGAAAACCGCACACAGUUUGAGGGAAAGCAUAAGGGAGGAACAAAUCGAAAAAUAGUUAUGUAACCUAGGUUAAAUAAAAACUACAAUGUCACUCUGUACAUAGUUCUCACCAUUCAUGUCUCGUAAAUACAUACAGUCCUCCCCACCAAUGAGUUUAUGUUAAAUUAGUCGCUAGUGCUUUCCCAACAUUUGUCCUUAGGUCUAAAGGGUUUUUCGUUUGUUCUAUCCGUUAAUUGUUGAUUGAUUUUUUUAGUCUGGGACAGACUGCUCGGGAAAACAGUCUCCUCACUGUUGCUCCUAUCACGUGUUUGGUGAAAUUUGAAUGGCCGCUUUUCGACCUAUGAUGAGAAGCGCAGUUGAGCGUUUUUGAAACGGAUAGAACGACGAUAUUUUGAAUUUGUCUUUCGAGAAAACUUCCUGCGUGUUCUGGUCUAACCGAUCGAUUCGUAUCCACUUUAGGAUCUUAAUAAGAAAACCCGCCCUGGGGUCGGGAUUCUCGCCGGGCAAUCUCAACACGACGAGUGGUCCUCUAUAGAGGUGGCGCUUAAGCCACUCGUUUCAUGACGCGAAAACCGAUCAGUGAGACGAAUUACACUGCUACAAAGUCACGCGUUAUAUUUGGCGCCCUAAACGUGUUAAAAGGCUGUUUUCAGACCAAAAAAGGUUCAUGAUUGGGAAAUAGUACAAUCUCGUCGAAUAAUUAAAAAAGAAACAGUUCUUGAUCUUGUUAAGCUUAUUUAUUGAUCUACCAUUGCUUAUUAAAAUUCAAUUUCUCCG